rnacentral:rRNA from 1 species
AAAGCGUGCGCAGGCGGUUUUGUAAGUCUGUCGUGAAAUCCCCGGGCUCAACCUGGGAAUGGCGAUGGAGACUGCAAGGCUAGAGUUUGGCAGAGGGGGGUAGAAUUCCACGUGUAGCAGUGAAAUGCGUAGAUAUGUGGAGGAACACCGAUGGCGAAGGCAGCCCCCUGGGUCAAAACUGACGCUCAUGCACGAAAGCGUGGGGAGCAAACAGGAUUAGAUACCCGUGU